rnacentral:Y_RNA from 1 species
GGUUGGUCCGAGUGCAGUGGUGUUUACAACUAAUUGAUCACAACCAGUUACAGAUUCCUUUGUUCCUUCUUCACUCCCACUGCUCCACUUAACCAGCCUUUA